rnacentral:tRNA from 2 species
GCUAGUGUAGCACAGUCGGUAGUGCAGCGCAUUCGUAAUGCGCAGGUCGCCUGUUCGAGCCAGGUCACUAGCU